CCAACUCUAGUUACUAAUAAUAACGUUAAUUAGAAACUCAAUUUAAUUGGAUUUUAUAAGUAAAGCGGAGAAGUAAAUAAAGAGGAGGUACACUGGAGAAUGGUGAAGUAAUUAAUGAGUGGCAUUUCAGUAAUUGAGACUAGCAUCAUGUGCACAUGUGUAUACAUAAGCAUCAAUAGUAAGAGAAACCAAGUUUGCCCUUGUCUACUCCUUUCUCUGUUUCGCUGACAGAACAACAACACAAUGUCCAUCAUGUUUAUUCACCCACACCAUUCAUAUGGAUUGAACCCCAACAUAGCCUUAUUUUGAAUCAAAUGGAAAACAAGUCCAAAGAGAAAAACAACCUCUUCUUCCUCAUUGACCGAACCUAAGACCCCAUCUCAAUUUAUGACCCAUUUUCAUUAUUAGAUCUAAAAGCUAUUCCUCCUUCAUGGCUCAAUUGUUCAUCUCUUCUAUUGGAGCAAUUCAUUAUCAACAAAAUCUAUUUGGAGCUCCUGGUGAUUCAAGUUCUUGGACUAUGGGUAAACAUACUUGUUUGGAAGGAACACGUUUAAGACACAAGGUGAACAUUAAAGGAAGAAUUGAGAUUUUUGGAUGUUGCAAGUUGAACCUCAAGGAAGAUAAAGUCAAUUCUUUUAACUCAAGCAUGCAUGUAUCAAUUGGAGCUGCAAAUUCCACAUCUUAUACAGUUAAGGAACUAAGUUGUGAGAAUAAAGAACUAGUAAUGGGUUAUGGUGAAUGAGUUAAGAAUUAAGGGAACUAGAAGAAUUGGAAGAAUUUGGGUUAAACCCGUAUUCUGGACAGACCUGCAUUAAAAAGGUAACUGUUUUCUCUCUGUAAUUCCGUUUGAGACGUCGUUUGUUUCUAUGGAUAGCUAACUCAAAUACGGUCGUUGUGACACUGGUUUCAUAAUUUUUGGACGAGGAAUGAGGUCAGUAGGUAUUUUUGAAGUUGGUGCUCUGAUGCAGAAUUAUGCAGAAAAUUUUGAUUAUUGGUUUAGAGCACUUCAGUUGCAAAUUAUGCGUUUCGGCGAGCUCUGGAAGUGUCGCUGGUAUUAUUCAAGCUUCUUUUCAGAUUAUCAGGUUGUUCGAGGAUCGUGGCCUUGAGGCAUGAAGAUACGGAUACGUGGAUUAUGUUAUGAAGCUGACGUUAUGUUAAUCUUAUAUUUGUAUAAGAUUCGGUUCAUUUAUGUUCAGUUGUUAGCUCGAUCAUGUAUUCAUUUGUUGGAUUUUGUAAUCCUAUUCACGUACUUGGUCUUUGUGUAAAUGAAAUUAAUGUUUCCCGAUACAGUUAUGUUCACUCUUGUUGCUAUUCUAGAUAAAUCGACAUGGGGUGUUAUAAUUGGUAUCAGAGCAGGUCGAUUCAGUAUCGGACCUUGCCGCGGAUCAUUAAAAUUCAAUCCAGAGUAGUGCGCACCCUUUGGAGUCUGGACUGUUUACGCUGAAAUCGCCGCGUGCUGAGCCUGAUCAACUUAGUAUCGUGUAUGGUAGGCAGGGUAUUACGGUUGAGAACCGAAGUAGAAGUGCAAACUUAGAUGGAAGUAUGAACGAAGAUCGUUAGAAGCGGAUAUUGUAAUUGCAGUAGUCGACUCCACAAGAGUAAGUUGACUAACGCCAACAAGUGGCGCGCAGAAUUGGGAAAAGUAUGUGGCGUAAUACUAGUAGUAAGAAGCAUGUCUAGAGAUGCACGAAUCGAAUGCGCUCAACUGACGGUAGCAUGUAUAAGAAUGUGGAGAAUUCUGGGAAUGGAAAAUCUAGUAUAAAACUAAGUUUUGACCGGAGUAGAACCGAGACUGAGUAUGGAAGUACGAGGACUGGAAAAUUGUAGUAGGUCUGAUGGGCACAUUAAUAUGGAUGAUGGAAUUAUGAGAACGACGCGCAGUAUAUUGAAGUGUGGUACACCAGCAUUAUCCAAUUGGCAAAUAUGUAUUAUGUGAACCUAAUUACAAGAAGCACCUUAAUUCAAAUAAGACUUAUCAGGAGUUGGUGAACCAAAAUCUUUCAAAUCCGUCAAACCUUCAUUUCAGCUCAGUAGUUUUCCCCUAGUGACACAGGUCAACUAAUUACACUACCGGAGAAAGAUAAACUAGACUUCAUGCAAUCCCUUUAGUUCCUAAUAUCAGCCUGUUGUACCAUUUUCGUAGAAUAAGAACACUAAUCGUUCCCAGCAAGAUAAGUUCAGCCUCUCAGUUCAUAACUAGUAUCCUAGUCAGACCCAUAACAAGCAAGUUUUGUUUGAGUAAUGACUGGAAUUAAUUCUAAUACUAUCAGUUACCUAAGCCGGCAUAUUAAGUGUCAUUAUCAUUGAUUCAAGAAUAAGUAAUGCAGUUUUGUACUAGCAUCAAGAAGUCACAGAACAAUUUUUUGUAUUCAAACCUCUCAACUAAUAACUCAACAUACUCGGUUAAACCUGUUGUGAGAAAUUAUUAGCCAAGUCAUAAUGAGAAUCAAGCCUGUUCCAAUUCCAUAGAUUAGUCAGUUAAGAGAAAUCAUGAAGUAUGAACAUACUACAAUAGAAUUAUGGUCUUCAGUUAGCUACCCUUUCACUUGAACUCUAAUUCAGCUAAAUUUAUCGUGCCGAUGCGAUGCAUGAUUCAUAAUCUGUAAGCCUUAUUAAGUUAUGAACAUUACGUUUCCUGAGCCUAUCUAAUGUUGACAGAGAGAGAUAAAUUCUUCCGGUACAUUGAGACCUAUCACUUACAUUUAAUGCAAGAAUUCAAUUAAGUUAUGUACCAUUGUACCUUUCCAAUUUUUCAGUAUCGGCGAAUUGGAUUCAUGUUUAGAGUGUUAUCCUUAUGUAACUUUGACGAAGUGUCUUCAGCUUUCCAACUUUGUUAUUAUAACUUAGUUCGGACCUAUGUAAGUUUGAGUUGCUUGAUAAGAGUAAUGAGUCGUGUUUCGUUAAGGACUAUCAGUUAUUCAUGUCGACCUUAAGAGCAGUAAGAUUAUGUUUAUCACCAAGAAAUUCUCCAAUCUUUUAGCAUCAUUACCGAGGACCGGUUCAGAAUCACAUAAGUCUAAUUAGCAAUUAAGGGUCCCUAGCAAUUAAGUUCAAACUCUCGCUCGUCUUGUUAACCUGUCAAGCAGCAUGGUUAAGGUACCAUGAACGUUGGAAACGUUACUACAAUCAAUUAAGUUCAUCUUUCUUUAUAAGGUCUUACCGUCUCAAUUUGGAUUAAUCAGUGAUGAUAUUCAAGCUUAUACCCUUAAGAUAACCUGAUGAAGUUUGUGGAGUAAUAAAGUAACAGCCGACAACAAUAGAUGUAGUAAUACUAUAAGGAUAUUAAUUGUGGCUGAGGUCGGUGAAGUGAUAAGUUAAAUAGAAAUCAAUUUUCUAAGGAUAUCACUGAUCGAGUAAAGAUCGCUUUUGGAACAACUCGGUUAUUACUAUCAAAUGUAAUGGUAAGAGGAGACGGAUGCCACACGAUGAGGAGACUAUGAGUAUGAGAUAAUAGUAAGUGAUAAAAAGUGAAGUGUUGCAGACAUGUUAGAUGGUUGUAAAGUAUUAUGUAUAUAGUGGUGCGCCUGUCGUCACGAAACGAUGCAAGUGUUGUUUUGUGAUAUCUAUGGUACGAGAAGUAAUAAUAAAAGCAAUAACACCGGAUAAGAUGAGACGAUGUGUGACAAUGUCAAAGAAUUUGUAGACCAAGAUUGUAAUGACGCAUCGAGAGAAUGACAGUAAGUAGUAAAAUCAGAGUGCGCAGCCGGGAAGUGGUUGAGAAUGUAGUUGGCAGAUUGACUUGUAGGUCAACAACUCUUUGAGAGAGGAAAGUUUAUUCCAAAGAAUUGGAUGUGGAUGACCGUAAGAUGAAUAAAGGACGUAUGACGAGUAAGUUACACAUAUGUUCAUGCCUGAACCUGGGAUUGUUAGUAAUGGCAUACCUUUCAGAACAAAGGUUGCAUUGUGAAAACGGUUUAACUAAGAAGUUUAAACGCGGCGAACUAGUAAGAACAAGUAGGCUCUCAUGUUAAUGUGUAGAGGACAGAAAAGGGACUGUUGUUUAAUGAGAGUUUGAACGAAGGAGGGAUAACAAGGAGGACUAAUAUAAGAUGAGCGCGCACCUAAAAGUUGUAUCAUGGGCUGAGGUCAUAGUUCAAUGUCAUGACAUGAACGAGUAGGAUUUUCAAAAGUAACAUAAACAAAUGCUAACACAGGGAAGGAUGAGGAUUAAUAACCUUGAACGACGAAUCAUGGUCACUUAAGAUAAUGGACGAUUAGGAUUUCCGAUGGUAAAUAAGAAACUGUUGACGCAGUAAACAAUGAUGAUUAAUAACCAAUGGAUGUGAGCCAUGACCAGUUAAGAGGUAAAGUCUAGAAUUUAGACGAGAAUAUAGACAAUUCACUUGGUUAAGAAGGAAGAAGUUCUUCAAUUUCGCGGACGAAAUUCUUUUAAGGGAGGUAGAUUGUAACAAUCCAACUCUAGUUACUAAUAAUAACGUUAAUUAGAAACUCAAUUUAAUUGGAUUUUAUAAGUAAAGCGGAGAAGUAAAUAAAGAGGAGGUACACUGGAGAAUGGUGAAGUAAUUAAUGAGUGGCAUUUCAGUAAUUGAGACUAGCAUCAUGUGCACAUGUGUAUACAUAAGCAUCAAUAGUAAGAGAAACCAAGUUUGCCCUUGUCUACUCCUUUCUCUGUUUCGCUGACAGAACAACAACACAAUGUCCAUCAUGUUUAUUCACCCACACCAUUCAUAUGGAUUGAACCCCAACAUAGCCUUAUUUUGAAUCAAAUGGAAAACAAGUCCAAAGAGAAAAACAACCUCUUCUUCCUCAUUGACCGAACCUAAGACCCCAUCUCAAUUUAUGACCCAUUUUCAUUAUUAGAUCUAAAAGCUAUUCCUCCUUCAUGGCUCAAUUGUUCAUCUCUUCUAUUGGAGCAAUUCAUUAUCAACAAAAUCUAUUUGGAGCUCCUGGUGAUUCAAGUUCUUGGACUAUGGGUAAACAUACUUGUUUGGAAGGAACACGUUUAAGACACAAGGUGAACAUUAAAGGAAGAAUUGAGAUUUUUGGAUGUUGCAAGUUGAACCUCAAGGAAGAUAAAGUCAAUUCUUUUAACUCAAGCAUGCAUGUAUCAAUUGGAGCUGCAAAUUCCACAUCUUAUACAGUUAAGGAACUAAGGUAAUAUUUGGAUUAUGUUCCUUUUCCUUUAAUCCCAAUUAGAGCUAUAAACCCUCAUUAUUGAUCAUCAUUUUGGAACUUUGCAUGUAUGUAUAUAUAUGUUCUUUGCUGUGAAAUAGUUGUGAGAAUAAAGAACUAGUAAUGGGUUAUGGUGAAUGAGUUAAGAAUUAAGGGAACUAGAAGAAUUGGAAGAAUUUGGGUUAAACCCGUAUUCUGGACAGACCUGCAUUAAAAAGGUAACUGUUUUCUCUCUGUAAUUCCGUUUGAGACGUCGUUUGUUUCUAUGGAUAGCUAACUCAAAUACGGUCGUUGUGACACUGGUUUCAUAAUUUUUGGACGAGGAAUGAGGUCAGUAGGUAUUUUUGAAGUUGGUGCUCUGAUGCAGAAUUAUGCAGAAAAUUUUGAUUAUUGGUUUAGAGCACUUCAGUUGCAAAUUAUGCGUUUCGGCGAGCUCUGGAAGUGUCGCUGGUAUUAUUCAAGCUUCUUUUCAGAUUAUCAGGUUGUUCGAGGAUCGUGGCCUUGAGGCAUGAAGAUACGGAUACGUGGAUUAUGUUAUGAAGCUGACGUUAUGUUAAUCUUAUAUUUGUAUAAGAUUCGGUUCAUUUAUGUUCAGUUGUUAGCUCGAUCAUGUAUUCAUUUGUUGGAUUUUGUAAUCCUAUUCACGUACUUGGUCUUUGUGUAAAUGAAAUUAAUGUUUCCCGA